GAUGAACGCUGGCGGCGUGCCUAAUACAUGCAAGUCGAGCGAACAGACGAGGAGCUUGCUCCUCUGACGUUAGCGGCGGACGGGUGAGUAACACGUGGAUAACCUACCUAUAAGACUGGGAUAACUUCGGGAAACCGGAGCUAAUACCGGAUAACAUGUUGAACCGCAUGGUUUAACAGUGAAAGACGGUCUUGCUGUCACUUAUAGAUGGAUCCGCGUCCAAUUAGCUAGUUGGUGAGGUAACGGCCCACCAAGGCGACGAUUGGUAGCCGGACUGAGAGGUUGAACGGCCACAUUGGGACUGAGACACGGCCCAGACUCCUACGGGAGGCAGCAGUGGGGGAUAUUGCACAAUGGGGGAAACCCUGAUGCAGCGACGCCGCGUGGAGGAAGAAGGUUUUCGGAUUGUAAACUCCUGUCGUUAGGGACGAUAAUGACGGUACCUAACAAGAAAGCACCGGCUAACUACGUG
rnacentral:rRNA from 1 species